UAUUGAUAACUGUCAAAACAACAACACUCUCUUUUACUUGUAAUAACACAUUUAUUGUGUGGUCAUCAAGGCAUCAUUACCACAGUUACAAAUGCUACCUCGCAAAUUUAUCUGUAAAAAUAAUUUCCUUCUACUACUGAUCUAGAAACCAAAGAUGAAGAUGUGCCAUUUUUUAUUUUGGUGCAAUUUCAGCUUUCUUGCUGCAGUUUGGAAAGUUUCAAACGUCAGAUUUCAAAACAUUAAAAAGUCUCUUCCUAUUUUUGAUUCAAUGAUUGCAAAAAUGUUUUCCUAUUUUCUUUCAUAAGCAGACACACACACGUACAAACACACACAUUCACACACACAUGCACACACACACACUUGGAGUGAAGUCUUUUAGCUGAUAAUGCUGCUCACAGACUUGAGAAAACAGCUCACUGACAGUUCAAAAUUCUUCAAUCAGCAAAGUUGAAGAAAUUUCAGAGACAGAGGAAGCACUCACGUUGACCAGGAGUGGGUACUCCCCUUAUCACAGCCGGAGAGCAUUUAUCAUUAACACCCACCAAGGAAAAGAAAAAUAGCCCUCAACCAAGACGCUGUGCAGAACAUUUCAUAUAACGUCACUGCCAUCUGUACGGGCUACGUGAAAGAUUUUGCCAUGAAUGAAUCAAAGGUGAAUGGUGUUGAUGAGCGCGUCGCUUACGUAGACAUUUUUGAAGACGUGAUUGCCUGGAUAAUUUUUUGUUUUGGGCUGCCAGCUAUCUGCUUGGCCAGUUAUGCCCUUUACCGUCUAAUCAAAGCUAACCAUGUUGCCCCCAUCUAUGUCAUCAACCUCCUCAUUUCAGAUCUUGUCCAGAUCAUCGUUCGUAUUUUUUUUAUGACGUACAGAUUUUUUGGUAUACAGUCCAAGGAAUAUAUUGUUACUUACAAUGUGUUGCUGGUUGUUGUCCGUUUUGGUCUCAUUGCCAGCCUUGGGUUCAUGGUGUGCAUCUCAUUGGAGAGGUAUCUGGUGGUCGUCCACCCUCUGUGGUAUCGCUACUAUCGCAAUAUUAAGCACUCAGUCCUGGCCUCUCUAGUUGUCUGGGUAUUGUCGGUAAUAUAUGCAGCCAUUGAUUACAACGUACUCAUGAAAGACCAUAUCACAUUCACCAUCGUCUUUUCAAUCCUUUUCCUACUCCCCAUGCCUUUUCUAGUGUUCCUGUAUGUAGGAACCCGGAGAGCUCUGGCUGGCACCGUCUCAGUAUCUGAUGCAGAAAAGAAGAGAAUUAUGGGAAUUCUGGCGCUGGUUCUUGGAAUCUACGUUCUGUUGUAUCUUCCCUUCACACUCAUGUCUUUUUAUCGGGCAGCUAUAAAAAAGAAGACAUUUACUGUGUACUGCCUGAUGGCCGUGACACGGAACAUUGUCCGUCUCAGCCCCCUUGUGGACCCCUUUCUGUAUAUUUUCAUGAGAAAAGAUGCCAAAGAUACAGUGGAGGCCUUCCCCUGCUGCCAAACUUUAAUUGCUUCAGGAAGAGGCUGGAGCAGAUCUAAGGGUACUACUUCGGAAACUAUCAGCGGUGUUUAAAAAUCACAGAAAUCUUAUGAGGUGUAACUGUAUUAUCGAAUUAAGUGGACCGAAGCUUGUUGGAAUUUGGACUGCAGAUAUUGGGAAGCAGACCUGGGUUAAAUAUGUAUUUGUUUCAGAUUAAAAUACUUUUCUGUGCUGGCUUGAACUUGCCUGGUGUAAUUGAGCCUGCCAAUAUGACCAGAAGGCAGGGUUUGCACUUUUUGAGAGCAUUUCAUUGGUUCCAAUACACCAGACAAGAUCAGUACAGCGUAGAAAAGUAUUUGAAUCCAAAACAAAUACGUAUUUGACCCAGGUCUGCUGGGAAGGCAUUCAGUAUCUUGCCUGCAGUCAUUUCAGGAAUCAAUCAAGGCUUUCAGGUUGACAUUUUACAUUGUAUUUUUCUUAUUAUUUUUUUAAGUAUUGAGAAAUGUUUCAUAUAUACAUUAUGAAAGCCAGUUCAUGUUCCUUUUGCUUUCAUGUGGCGUAUACAAGAUUUUAAAACAGUUUAUCAGGAUUUUACAAGAGCUUUGAUUUCAUUAGCAAAACCAUAAGUAAAAUAUUUGUGAUUUUAUUACAUGAUACUUUAUGUUACUUUAUAUGAUGAAUUUUAUAUAUAUAUAUAUAAUCUUUUUUUAUAUGUGUGUUAUUUUAUUUUUUUCUUUCACAUCAAAAAACAAGAAGAAAAUCAUCAGUUGCACUUAUGGAAAUGUGUGUCAUAAAAAUGGCAUAGAAAACAAUAGAACAGAACAUGAUACACUAUAACAUGAUCAGAACAGUGCUAUUUAUUUAUCAAAUAGAAAAUGAAAAUAUUAUGUAUAAAUUAUUAUUUUUAUUUUAAAUAAAUUAUAAAUGAAAAAAGAGAACCAUUGUUGUACCUAAGUCACAGUUUUUUUCCAGCUGCUGAACAGAAUUAGUUGUUUUCUUGGGAAUCUUUUUUUUUUAAAUGGAGCAUCGCGUAGUUCUGGCAGGCCACAAGAGUCUCCGGCUGAAUCAGCUGAUGGCUCAGGUGAGUGAUGUUCGCCUAUCACAGUACAUUCACUUAACAGGGCGGUCUACUUAAACAGCCUCCCUCUACUCAUUCAGCUGCUCCUCCUGCAUGCAAGCUGCGGCACGUUGCUUUGUAAAUCCUCUCCACCACCCCAGCUCCAUCCCUAUGUGUCAAGAAUUUGCAUUUCUCCAUUCCUAUGUGUUAAGAAUUUGCAUUGCUCCAUCCCUAUGUGUUAAGAACUUGCUUUGCUGCUGGAUCUGUUCUGUGUGUACCCCUCUAGGGGGGUUUGGCUGCUGGCCUCCCGGUCUUAUCCACGCGGGCUGCGAAGUUGGCGGGAGAGCUCCAGAACAGAGCCAUACUGCCAAACAUAAGUGUAUUGCCUUUAUUGUCAAUAAAGAUCUACUUUGAUGACA